GAUGAAGAACGUAGUGAAAUGCGAUAAUUAAUGUGAAUUGCAGAGUUCAGUGAAUCAUCGAAUCUUUGAACGCACAUUGCGCCCGUCAGUAUUCUGACGGGCAUGCCUGUCCGAGCGUCAUUUCAACCCUCAAGCACUGCUUGGCGUUGGCGGAUUGCGUGCCCUCGCGGCGCUGCAACCGCCCAAAUACAGUGGCGGUCCCGCUGCGGCUCCCUUUGCGUAGUAACUCACCUCGCACUGGACCGGGCGGCGGCCUGCCGUAAAACCCCAACUCACGAAAUGUUGACCUCGGAUCAGGUAGGAAUACCCGCUGAACUUAAGCAUAUCAAUAAGCGGAGGA
rnacentral:misc_RNA from 1 species